CUUGUGGCUUGGAGUAAGCAGGUAGACUAGAAUUGGCUGGCGAAGAUGUGUUUGGCACACUUACAGGCGUUAUGCUACCUCGACUUAAGCUACUGACGUUACUGCUACAAUAAGGAAAACCUUAUAUGAGGUGGUUGGGAUAUGUGAGGGGGUAAUGUAGGACUGGGAGGACUUGGUGCUGUUGGAACUGGCGCAGACGCAGGCACGGGAGGUGGUAUAGGUGCCGGAGCAUCCGUUGCUGGAUUUGAAAUUUGUCCACCCGUGUCAGGAGGAGAACCUCCGGCUCCGUUUGCUGGAGGCAAAACGUGUGGCGAAGAUGAUGGCAAUUCGUCUGAGAAAUCAGCAUUAAUUUUAACAUUACUUACAUCGCUGAGGUGGUCCCUGGAACUGUCUGCGUCCUGGCAAUCCCUAGGUAUACCAGGGCCAUGCAAUUGUUCAGAUGCUCUACCACUAUCGUCACUUGUACCUGCAUCUAGGCCCUGCAAAAUAUAUUAUGUUUGCGAUCAUUCAUCGUAUCGAAUAUACAAGGAUAUCAGUUGGCUCUGCUUGCAUUCAACACGUAUAAAAUUUGAGCAAACCAAGAGUAUAGUGCCUCAACACGUAUGGUGUAAACACUCCACGAUUUUCCCACAAAUUUAUACCGCUAUAAACAUAGACUCUAAUUUCUUUUCUAUCCACUAGGUACGCCGAUGAAUUGUUGGUUCACGUAAGAAGCGCAAGUGAAACUCUGUCGGAGGUGCGCGCACAGUAGAAAAAGUCGUAUGAGAACGCCUUUCCGUCGGUGCCUUUAAACCGCGAUGUCAGUGCACAUUUCUGAACGGGUGGCGCUCUGCCCUCCCCCCUCUUCUUUUUCCCUACUCUCUCUCUCUCUCGGUUUCCCCUAUGUGCAUCUAAAUACCGUUAUCGCAAUAAACGUGGUUGCCGUGAUUUCAAACAAAAAGAUUAUCCGACGGGUGUACGUUCGUGAUAUACCGAUUCUCGUUCAGAUUUCAAGCUAUCAAGACGGGCACGGGCGUUUGCAAAAGAUGACAGCAGGAUUCACAGGCAGCACCGUGUCUCGUGUGCGCGAUGCAGCACACGAAUAGUGGGGAGAAUGAAAGAGGCAACGAGUCGGUGUAAUGGUGAAGGGAACGAGGGGAAAGAGGGAAAGGAAGCUAGAAAGUGGGGAGGGUAAAAAGAGAGAAGUGGGGGACCGACGAGGAAGGUAGAGAGGAAGAGCGAGGAAGAAAGAGAAGACAUUGACCGAACGAGCAGCCGCGCGACAAGGCCUCCUUUGCCGUGCCAGGCCAGCUGGAAGGAACGAAGCCCGAACCCUGACUUCUCUUUCUCGGCUCUGGUGUAUUACUUUCCUUUUCCGAUAACCGUGUACUCUUUCUCUCUACCCCCCUCUCUUGUACGGUUGGCUACCAAAGAAACGAUGGGAAAAAGCCACUAGAGCUCACGGUGUAAAAAACUACCACCUAGCCAUACUUCACCUGCGCACGUGUGCCAACUGCGAAGUGAAACCCCCUAGGACGUGUAUCGCGGUCAGAUUACAUACUCCUCAGCUAAGACGAAUUAAUUGAAUAAACAUCCGACUGGAAAAUAUGUAUAGAAAGGAGGCGAAGAACUGUAUUACUAUAAGUAACAUGUCCUUUGCCUUUUUCUUCUUUAUUCAAUGGAGAAAGUGAAUUUCAAUCAUUCUGUUUAUUUAUUAUAACAAAAGUACUGUAUUAUUGUAUUUUUUAUUUAAUUAUAGGUAUCUAUUAUAGGUAUUUUAAGUAAUAUAUAGAAGGCAAAUCUUUAGUUUUGUUUAGUUAAAAGAUAAAGAAGCAUUUGGCUGUCCGGGAGACGAAGUUCCUCGACAUGGGACGAGUAAAGGAAGGUCGUUCCCGGACGUGCGGACGUUCCACCGGUCGGCUACUCCGUGCUUUGGCUAGCCGGCUACUAAACUCGUCUGUACAACGUUGCCACGUCUAUUCGUUCGGUGUUGACACGGUCGGACUCUAAUUCAGCUACUACUCACAGUUCGCGACAUUAAUGUGCAACCUCCUAUGCGCGCAUGAUUCAAAGAAACCGAUACUGUAAUUAAACAACGAAACUGUCUUCUAUGUAUUAUUUCAAUCAUUAUGCUAAUUUUGUUUUCGAUCAUUAAGAAACUUGAUCUUUGAAAUAUUCAGGGAUUCAAAUUUUGGCGCUUUCACGACUUCCGACCAAUCGGAAGCGUCAGAGGUUCCCCCCAUCGUUAAAUUUGACAGCCAUGUUUCUUUUUUGACGAAUGUCACUAGCGCCAAGAUUAAGUAUUCUUCAUUUCUCGUUUGUAACAAGCGGAUAAUAACAGUUGUUCGGACAUCUGUUUGACGAAAAUUCCGGCUGUUUGCCAGUACCAAAUUGACGUGCCGAGCGUGAAACGAUGCUGGCCAUGGUCCAAAAAUUAUUCGAAAGUAAACAUAUAUCAUGGUAGCAUUGUUUAUAUUCAAAGGUACCGUCUUCUCGUUGCUUCGACCGAAAGAAGCAUGUAAGGUAUUUCGAAACUUUCACUACGUAAAACCUUUCGUGUGAUACCCGAUUCGGAAGGAAAAUAUAUUGGAAGAAGUAAAAGUAAGUUGCGUAACAAGAUAUAUAUAUAUAUAUAUAUAAAAAAUUUGAUUACAGCAUAAUCAAUUUCCAUCGCUUGUCUCUCUCUCUGGUAAUAGUUUCCCAUUACAUUUUAGGUGUUUAUAAAACAGACGUUCGUGAAUGUAACGAUGUUAAUCAACGAACGAGAAACAUGACUAACUCUCGGCAGGAGAGAUUCUUAUCGCGGAUGAUGUAUUUUAACACCAUUAAGUGACGCAAACCUUCGAAUGGAAUCUGGUGAAAAGAAAAAAAAAAGAGAAAUGCAAUCAGCAUUUUAAUGGUAAGCGUCAGUAGUGUUCGUGUUUCGUCUAGUUGGACCAACCGGCCAAUAAAGUUUAGUUCUGCGAAAACAUGUCAGAGGGAGAAAGUAGAGAAGGCUGAAGAAAGAGGGCGGUAGAUGUAAGAAAAAGAAAGAAGGAAUGACCGGUAUAAAGAUUUACAGUGGUGUAAAUACAGCGAUAAACUGGCCAUCAUUUUGUCAGCUUGCAAGAUUAUUCUCAGACGUAAAUAUUUUUCAUCGAUUUAUAACACGGUCUACGCAUUUCCCGUUCGAGGGACGUUUACGUACAUUUUGUACCGAAGGUGUCGAGUGCGGUUUCUUUUUUUUGGGAAUUUCGAAACGAUCAAGUCGAUUGGUCAAAUACGCAUCCGAAAGCGAAGAGUCGUCUUCUUUCGUGUGAAAUUAUAACGAAAAAGAAAAAAACUGGGUCAACUCAUCGUGCAGGUGCACGACCGUGUUUCGUCCAUCAUCGAUAUAUCUCUUUUGUCGUUUCUAUAUCGAUUCAGAAGCUCCUUUGCAAUUUCUUCCAUUUCAAAGAAAACAUGUAUAUAAACGGGAGAAAAAUCGUGAGCGUGGAGAAUAAAAAAAAAGAAAGAAAAGAAAAAAAAAAACAAGAGGGAAGAGAAAGAGAAGAAACGGGACAGAAAAAUGGGUCGCGAGUCAGUUUCGCUCGGUGGUGAUACGUCUAGCGGGCUACCAUCUCUCGUCGGAAAUCUCUCCGGUGGUCGAUUUUCAGCGACGACGGUGAAUAUAUCCGAGCAAAGGUAGGCGCGCAUUACCGGUUGAACUCACUGUUGACGGAUCACGUGGCAGAUUUCAGGCAUCCCCGUUGGCACCGGCGGCCAAGCUGAUUUAUCGAGUGGCGUGGCGUUGCUGACCUCACUCUCGGUACGGCUAACGACGGCUAAGAGGAGCUCUCUUGGUAAUCUGCCGAAUGCCAGCUCCAAGUCAUACUGGAUGUUCAAAAAAGCCUGGGUGAAACUCGGAGGAGCACGGGGUACUCGUCGAACCAAAGAUAUAUUUUAAAUGUUGAUGUUUCUUGUCACGGUAAUGUUAUAACGUGUUAAUGGCAUUGUUAAAAUGUCAAAUCAUAAAGUCACUCGAAUAAGAUCUUCUAUCCCGAGCAUCAGAUAAACACGUGUUCCAUUUAAAUCCGUUUUCAUGUUCCAGUCAUUUCCCAGUGCCCAUUGUACGCGACAAUGUACAACAAGUGAGUCAUACUGCGGUAUAAACGGUGCUUGUAGAGUGACAUUACGGUCGCGCGUGAUGCAUCAAGCAUUAUUUGCAAAUGAUCGUUACAGUAACUAGUUACACCAGCCUCGUUUGUCCAAAGGAAUUAUUAGAGUAAAAAGGAAAAAAAUGGCCAUGAUUCGAAACAGGGUCAAGCAUAUUACCAAAUAUUUCCUGCACUACACCAGAAGCUAACGGAAAGUUCUCGUUCAAUUCGCAGACUGAAGAAAUACGAAUCGAGCAUAGGAAUCAUCGAUUAAACAUCAAGAUAAGAGGAAAUCAGUCAAAUGGUGAAUCCGAAUCUCAGAUCGAACGAGCCACGGAACAAGAUAUUAUUGCGAAUUCAGCCAGGAGGAGCGAGUGUAAAUAAUGAGAUCAUCAGGAAGGUGAACACGACCGAUGAACUUGUUCCAUUGUAACCGAACACCCAUGCCUCUGCCUGCAAUUAUUGUGCCUGCCACGCGAAAACACGUAUUACUUACGUAAUCGUACGGUGACACUGACCUCACUCUAAAUCCAUAAGUGGCUGUUAAUUAUCGAGUGGCAACGAUUUCAACGAUUUCGACGAGGUGGGGAGAGCGAGGUUAGGUCGAGGGGUGGAGCAUAUACAUAAAGGGGAUGAGAGAGAGAAAGAGAGAGAGAGAAAUGAAGGGAGAACCGAUAGAGAGUAGCCCGCUAAUCAGUCCGGUCGGAUAUCGCAAUAUGUGGGAUACGCUCGGUUGAUUCUGAACAGGACGAGUUUACCCUAACGUAAUUAAUGUUCCUCAUACAAUGUGACGUGUAACGACAAAUUCGAUUGACGUCACAAAGUGGAGAGAAUGGAUAGGUUAUUGAAUUCGUCUUGAAACGUACAUUCAGCUGUAGGUUUCCUUUGGCUAAGGGUAAGGGAAGGAGCAUUCCAUCGACUGCUUUGUGUUUUGGAGGGGAGCUUAGAGAAAAUCUAAAGCCUAGUUUAUGCUGGUAGUAGUAAAAAUCUGCCCUGAAGGGAUUGGUAGAAUACUAAAGCCAAACUCACGCGCCAUAAUGCUAUCGAAUAAACUUGACUGAACGAUAUAAAUAAUUUUUUCUUUAACAAUCCAUCAGAUAUUUCUGAUAGAGUAAGCUAAACUGCACGUUUUUAACUGAAUCAAUUAUAAAUAAACGUCCUCCUAUUAAAAGCGUCGUGGUAUUUUCAGAUUCCAUUCAACCAUCGCACACAUAUUCAUCGGAUGAACGAGGACGGCCUAGGUGAAUUUACAGCUGGGACAACGACGAAACGAACCGUACCCGGGUUAAUAUAUGUUCUUCUUUUGUUUCACGCGGGUUAGGUGACGUUUAAUUGCUAGGGUAGACCCGACUGUUUUCAUCGCGGUUGAUUACAGGCUGCUGAAAAUAAUUAUCGGGUUUACGUACGUUCCGACGAUUAUUGUAUCAUUUAAAGAAGACGUUUGACAUAUUUUAAGGAAACGUAUUGCUCGAUAAUAAUUGGAGGGUUCGUGUUUGAAUAUCCGACAAGUAGCAGCAUCAUUUUUAUCCAUCAGCUGCUGAAAACGGUACAACCCUCCGAGGAUUCUGAACAAACGGUGCAAAAAGGAACGAAUCGGAACACCUACUAUUACAGUUGCUCCCGAUCAUUGAAAUCGACCUUCCUGUUUCAGAAGCACAGCGGUAUCAUCACCGUCGGACUCGAGACGGAUCAUUUUUCAUUUAUGCGCUCCGGGGUAAUGCGUACCAUUGAAUGUCGCUAAUUACUCGCACGGAAGGAUCAACAUCUUUUUCUCUCGCUGGGAUAAAUGAAACGCUCACGAUGCCGGACAAGAUAAUUAAGUAUUACGGAGCACGGUGUUACGUACGCGAUAAUAAUCUCUCGCCGCGUGUCAACGCUCACUUGACCCGACGUCUCUUUCUCCUGUGCAGUCCGAAGAAUGUAAGAACACCAGAAGGAGCCGAGGAACGCAACGGAUAAGAAAGAAUCAGUGGUAUAAGGACACUCAACCCGGGUAGAGGUCGAACGUUCCUGUUGCGAGAUGACGAAAAAUUCCGAAAGGAUUUUUCCCGGUGCAACCGAGGAAUUUCGAAAAGAAAAUCAUCGACGCGUGCGUUCUCCGAUGGAAACGCGUAACCAUGAGACGUUCGAGGAGCUGGCAACAUGUUUCAGAAAAUUGAAAACCGUGUAAUGGAAGCAGAGAAGAAUUGAAAAUAUAUCAAUUCCAGGUAAAUACAAUGUAAAGAUUAUUAUCUGAUGUCUGAUUAUUAUUAGCCGCAAGGUGUUAACACGUUGAUUGUGAUACGAUAUUGCACUUCCAGGUAUUCAGCAAAAUUAUUUAUAAUGGGGUAAAGAAGUACCUCGUAAAGUAGCUGACACGACAAUUCCGAGUGUUAAACGAAGUCUUGUUCAACCGUUUUCUCAUAUUUGUUCCACUUUCAGAACCGCUUAGACGACAGGAUUCCCAAAUCGCGGGUAGCACAGCGUUAACAGAGUCGAAUUUGCAUUUUAUCAUCGUGGAGAACAGUGGCAGGAAGAGAAGAGUGUCUUUAAAACACGGCCAAUCUCGAGUCCCUUUCGUUCGGAGGUGUUCUUAAUAGGAGCA